ensembl:lncRNA
GAACAGGAGACGUCUCUAAACUUUAUUGAAACAUCUGUGGACAUUAACGGUUGGAGCUGAAGCUACCGUCACAGCCGAAGGCCUCCUCUUCCUCCUCCGAUGAAGGUGAACGAAGAUCAGAGCGGUGUCGUUUCUGAUGCAAGCACCAAAACCCCGACUUCCUCCCACUGAAUCCGAGCCCCGCCAUCAGAGGAAUCCCCCCAAUCAAACAUCAGCACGGGGAUCAGGAACGAUUAAUGUUCCUGUUAAAUUCAACCUGUUUUCUCCUGACGACCCUGCUAACGGGCUGAACGGCAGGCGUUUCUAACGGCAACUCGCUUCUGUCCUCACCCAUCAGUCAAACAACUCCCCGAGUUUAACGAGAGGAGGAACGCUAACGUCCGACCAUGAGCUCCCAGAACACGGAGCGCAAACAAACAGAAACAUGACAGCCUGGCGUUCAUCAUCAAGUUUUAGCUCGAGCUUCCUGUGUGCAGAAAACAAAGAGACGAGGCGGCACGCACCCCCAACAACAACGAUAAUAAACCCAAAAAAACAGACGUGAGAACAGAGGAAACCAAACCCACACGGCCGCUCUCCAUCAUCCAUCGAUUCGCUCGAGGUCCCUGCCGAAGCUCCUCUAAGCCUAUUAGAAUGUUUCUACUCUGCAGCUUCUAUUUACACGUACGCCUGCACAGCAACACGAACCGCCUCCACCUGCCCCAACUCCCCAUCGCAACAGGAAGUGACACGUGUACGCUCAGGAGGGCAGACAGCCGCACGUUAAAGGGACGCGGCGCCGUUACAGGACUCGAGGCCUUCAUAAAGGAUGAAGGAAAGUUCAGCUUAAUUCAACUUAAACUAUCUGAUGUUUAAUCUGCUAAUUAUUCUCUUCAUUUAUCACAAAGUACAUAACUCUUCUUUUAAUGCUGGACCCUAAACCCCGCCCCCAUCACAGGUCUGCAGUUUGAAUCUUUACGAUAAGGAAAAACGAGAAGCUGGAAUUAUUUUCCUGAAGCUCAAAAACACUCAGAAAUGUCAAAACCAUCCGUUUAAACAGAAACAAGUCGCUAAACUCAGUUUAUUCACGAGUCUCACGCGUCUGCGUCGCACGUGUGAGACUGUUCUGAUGGAACACAGCAAAAUAUCCGGAUUAUAAACAUUCAGGAAUGUUUGAGUGCGUUUAGCUGCAGUGAUGCUGUCAGAGAGAAGCUCUGGAUUUGAUUCAAGCUGUUUUUGUUUCCUCCAGGUUUGAAGUCUCGUUUAAAGUUUGAACUGCAGUUUCACUGAACGCUGAAACACACGCGACGUCUCGCUAAACUACGGCCGUCCGAACACGGAGGAAGCGAUCUUUGCUCUACCUGCACCUCUGAGCGCCCACGUGAGUUACCGCACCUCUAUAAAGUGUUAUUAACCGUUUAUUACAUGUUUAUCUGCUGAUUACACGUUAAAGUUAGAGGAAUGAGCACUGAUCAGAAGCCAAAACAAGCCGAGCUGUCUUCAAACUCUGUAACUGCGACGGAUGGACCACGACGCGUCCUCCUGCAGGAGGAGCGCCUGACGCAGAAAUCCGUUUCCAAGAUUCAACAGAAAACAAAUAAAAAUACUCUGAGAGCACCGACAGCGCCGAGGUCGACUCCUCGUCAACUUGUCAGUCCCAUUUUGCUCAAAGAUACAGCAUCGAACCGCCGACCCGCCCGACUGCUACACGGGCUAAACAAAACAAAAAAAAGGGGAGAAAGUCUGAAUCCACCAGUGAUGCUGUGGGCGGAGCCUGUCUCCAUCCCGCCCUCCCUCCUUUACCAUGGUGGAUGUUUUUGGACCGCAGCUCCUCAC